rnacentral:rRNA from 1 species
GAUGAACGCUAGCGGCAGGCUUAACACAUGCAAGUCGAGGGGCAGCACGUCUUCGGAUGGUGGCGACCGGCGCACGGGUGCGUAACGCGUAUACAACCUACCUUAUAGAGGGGAAUAGCCCAGAGUAAUUUGGAUUAAUGCCCCAUAGUAUUAUUGAAUAGCAUUAUUUAAUGAUUAAACAUUUAUGGCUAUAAGAUGGGUAUGCGUUCUAUUAGCUAGAUGGUAAGGUAACGGCUUACCAUGGCGACGAUAGAUAGGGGUCCUGAGAGGGAGAUCCCCCACACUGGUACUGAGACACGGACCAGACUCCUACGGGAGGCAGCAGUGAGGAAUAUUGGACAAUGGGCGAGAGCCUGAUCCAGCCAUGCCGCGUGCAGGAAGACGGCCCUAUGGGUUGUAAACUGCUUUUAUACGGGAAGAAACACUCCUUCGUGAAGGAGCUUGACGGUACCGUAAGAAUAAGGAUCGGCUAACUCCGUGCCAGCAGCCGCGGU